CGAACGGGUGAGUAACAUAUCGGAACGUAUCCAAUAAUGGGGGAUAACGAGUCGAAAGAUUCGCUAAUACCGCAUACGCCCUACGGGGGAAAGCAGGGGAUCUUCGGACCUUGCGUUAAUGGAGCGGCCGAUAUCUGAUUAGCUAGUUGGUGGGGUAAAGGCCCACCAAGGCGACGAUCAGUAGCUGGUCUGAGAGGACGACCAGCCACACUGGAACUGAGACACGGUCCAG
rnacentral:rRNA from 1 species